rnacentral:rRNA from 1 species
UACGGAGGGUGCGAGCGUUGUUCGGAAUCACUGGGCGUAAAGCGCGUGUAGGCGGCCCAUUAAGUCUGAUGUGAAAGCCCGGGGCUCACCCCCGGAAGUGCAUUGGAAACUGAUGGACUCGAGUCCCGGAGAGGAGAGUGGAAUUCCCGGUGUAGCGGUGAAAUGCGCAGAUAUCGGGAAGAACACCCGUGGCGAAGGCGGCUCUCUGGGACGGUACUGACGCUGAGACGCGAAAGCGUGGGGAGCGAACAGG